rnacentral:sRNA from 1 species
CUCAGCCUGGACUGGGAGCUGGCCGCCUGCUGCUCCCCCCCCACGUCCCAUGUUGUGGGCCUUGACCUGGCCUUCUUUCCUCCAGCCGAUCUGCACAAUGCAACCAACCUGCGGUCUCGGUCCCUGUCGGGCACAGGACGGUCCCUGGUCGGGUCCUGGCUGAAGUUGAACAGAGCAGAUGGAAACUUCCUUCUCUAUGCACACUUAACCUACGUCACUUUGCCGCUGCAUCGGAUUUUAACAGACAUCCUGGAAGUUCGGCAGAAGCCCAUCCUGAUGACCUAGCCGCGUGCGGAGCCUGCGCAGAGCCCCGGCCGGGCCCAGCCCUGGGAGUGCUGCCAAGUGCCUACCUGUCCACCGCCACCGGGGUCUUCUGUGACACGCCAGUGCUGGAGCCACAGCCAGGCGAGGCCACUCGACUCCCGGGGCCAGGGCCGACUCCACGAACACCAGCCCAAACUGAAGUGCCUCUUCCCUCCCCUGCUGGCUCUGCUCCGCCCUGUGCCCCCCGCCCAUCGCCCCCCACCCAUCUCUGGAGAGCCCUCUGCACCCAAAGAGAACUAGAGAUGCUGAGCGGCCAUGAGAGAGCGCGGGAGGAGCAGCUGAUGCCCAGAGCGGGGCCAGACCGGCGCAUCUAUGUUCACGUCCCCCCCAGCAGCAGGCGGAACCACCCAGCCAGGGCACUCAGCGCAUCAGACUGUCCACACCUUCUUGAGGAAAGCCGGUGGAAGAUUUUGGAAUGCCAUGCGGAUGAACUUCA